UGAGGAACGAAGAACUAGAGGGAGGGAAGAGAACGGCGACGGCGGCUGUAGGCAUCGAUAGACGCAACCAGCGGAGAUCGGAAUCGCGGGUGCCUGGAAGAAGCCUGACGCAAGAAGCGUCCUUCGUGUGCGAGGAGGGCGAGUAAAAAUGCGUACGGCCUCACGCCUUUCUUUCUUCGUCCCCGUCCUCCAGAACAGGGAAACGGAAAAUGCAAGCGUCGACUCCGAAUCUGAAUUGAAAAACAGAGGGAGCAGGAGUGUAGGAAGAUUGGUAAGCGGCAUCGCAGGUGGAAGACUCACAACGGCCGACCAGUUUUUCUUCCGAUCCCGGAGGAUUCGAUCUGGCUACAGCCGCUUUGGCGUUGCGAGACCUGGGAUACGAAUCGAAGACGAUCCAGUCCCAGAUCUCGGUACAAUGUAGCCGGUCGACGAAGAGCGGAUCGACCGAAAGGGGAACGGGCGGAGGAAGAGAGAUGGAGGAGAUGAGGAGGUUGAAGGAGAGCCGGACGAGAUCGACCUCAUCUGAGGAUUCGCAGAGGAACCACGCCGAAGACGAAACCCUAGAAACCCCGAUGAG
rnacentral:lncRNA from 1 species